rnacentral:rRNA from 1 species
ACAACUCUGAGCGGUGGAUCACUAGGUCUGUGGAACGAUGAAGACCAUAGCAAAGUGUGAGAUGUGGGGCCGGCCGUUGCAAGUAGUGUCCCUAGAUUCAAUAAUCACAGGUCGAAUGCAUAUUGCGCCCCACCACAAGUGUGGCUGCCAACCCUAUGGGAGAACGUUUUGGUUGCCCGUUCU